CCUUAGUAACGGACCUGUUGUUUCCCUCAUGGUGAGUGGCCAGAGGAGUGUAUCGGGGUACAUUCGAAAAGGUAGCCCUCUUAGCGUCUAGUAAUUGUUGUACCUAGACACGCUCCUGUGGGACCAACCUAUCUCCCAACUGGACCUCCGCUAGUUCACCUGUCUGACUUCCCUCCUGUAGGAGAUCUGGUAGGGGAAGGUCAUCAAAGUCCUCUGAGACAGGGGCACAGAUGGCUGCCACAUCCUCUGCUCUUUCAUGGUAGGGCUUCACAGCAUGUUCACAUGGAGCAUGUGUAACCCUCUCGCUCCAGAGCUAGGGCUGGUCACAUAGGUGGUAUCGCAUUUCUGCUCUGCCACCUUGUAGGGAACUUGCCAGGCAG